UACAGAGGUCCCAAGCGUUUGUUCGGAAUUAUUGGGCGUAAAGGGCGCGUAGGCGGUCGGAUAAGUCUUGUGUGAAAUCUUCGGGCUCAACUCGAAGUCUGCACAGGAAACUAUCUGGCUUGAGUGUGGGAGAGGUGAGUGGAAUUCCUGGUGUAGCGGUGAAAUGCGUAGAUAUCAGGAGGAACACCUGUGGCGAAAGCGGCUCACUGGACCACAACUGACGCUGAGGCGCGAAAGCUAGGGGAGCAAACAGG
rnacentral:rRNA from 1 species